UGACUACCAUCACCGCUGCCAUCAGUAACUCCCGCAAGACGAACUCUGGUACCGAGAUCAUCGACAACCUCGUGAACAAGUGCGGCCCAUACUUCAAGCAAUCCGGAUACCAAGAUAUCACCGUCGACGUGACCGUUAUCAAAGAAAGCUGCAGUAAAGCCAACGGCGAUAAUGUUGACUGGAAUGGCAACGGUAACAACGGAGGCAGCACUGGAGGCAGUACUGAAGGC